GCGCUGAUAGUUUAGGGGUUUAGAAUACAUGCUUCCCAAGCAUGUGACCCGGGUUCGAGUCCCGGUCAGCGCA
rnacentral:tRNA from 1 species